AAGCGCAAGGUCGCUACCAAGGGCAGUACCAAGUCCAGUACUAGCAGGGAGAGUUCAGAUUGUUGGACUUUUCUUGAGAAGGUGAUGGUGAAAUUAGAAAAGGAUCCUAAGGUUGAAGAGUUGAAGGCAAAGUGCAUGCAUUGCCACAAUUUAUACAUAUAUGUUCAAGGUUCAAGCACCACAACACUUAAUAUGCAUAUGAAGAAGUGUAAGAUCUUCAAGAACAAGGUUGCGACGAAACUUAUACAAUUAUGA
rnacentral:rRNA from 1 species